GUAGCUUGCUACUGAUCUUAGCGGCGGACGGGUGAGUAAUGCUUAGGAAUCUGCCUAUUAGUGGGGGACAACAUUUCGAAAGGAAUGCUAAUACCGCAUACGUCCUACGGGAGAAAGCAGGGGAUCUUCGGACCUUGCGCUAAUAGAUGAGCCUAAGUCGGAUUAGCUAGUUGGUGGGGUAAAGGCCUACCAAGGCGACGAUCUGUAGCGGGUCUGAGAGGAUGAUCCGCCACACUGGGACUGAGACACGGCCCAGACUCCUACGGGAGGCAGCAGUGGGGAAUAUUGGACAAUGGGCGCAAGCCUGAUCCAGCCAUGCCGCGUGUGUGAAGAAGGCCUUAUGGUUGUAAAGCACUUUAAGCGAGGAGGAGGCUACUUUAGUUAAUACCUAGAGAUAGUGGACGUUACUCGCAGAAUAAGCACCGGCUAACUCUGUGCCAGCAGCCGCGGUAAUACAGAGGGUGCAAGCGUUAAUCGGAUUUACUGGGCGU
rnacentral:rRNA from 1 species